rnacentral:rRNA from 1 species
GGACCGAACCGACUAAUGUUGAAAAAUUAGCGGAUGACCUGUGGCUGGGGGUGAAAGGCCAAUCAAACCGGGAGAUAGCUGGUUCUCCCCGAAAGCUAUUUAGGUAGCGCCUCGUGAAUUCAUCUCCGGGGGUAGAGCACUGUUUCGGCUAGGGGGCCAUCCCGGCUUACCAACCCGAUGCAAACUGCGAAUACCGGAGAAUGUUAUCACGGGAGACACACGGCGGGUGCUAACGUCCGUCGUGAAGAGGGAAACAACCCAGACCGCCAGCUAAGGUCCCAAAGUCAUGGUUAAGUGGGAAACGAUGUGGGAAGGCCCAGACAGCCAGGAUGUUGGCUUAGAAGCAGCCAUCAUUUAAAGAAAGCGUAAUAGCUCACUGGUCGAGUCGGCCUGCGCGGAAGAUGUAACGGGGCUAAACCAUGCACCGAAGCUGCGGCAGCGAACGUAUCACCCAAGACAACUUUACGGAGUUGACGAUUGACGGAGCGAAGCGACGUCAAAGCGUUCAUUAAAGUCGAGUUGGCUUAGGGAUACGUUCGUUGGGUAGGGGAGCGUUCUGUAAGCCUGUGAAGGUGUGUCGUGAGGCAUGCUGGAGGUAUCAGAAGUGCGAAUGCUGACAUAAGUAACGAUAAAGCGGGUGAAAAGCCCGCUCGCCGGAAGACCAAGGGUUCCUGUCCAACGUUAAUCGGGGCAGGGUGAGUCGACCCCUAAGGCGAGGCCGAAAGGCGUAGUCGAUGGGAAACGGGUUAAUAUUCCCGUACUUGGUGUUACUGCGAAGGGGGGACGGAGAAGGCUAUGUUGGCCGGGCGACGGUUGUCCCGGUUUAAGCGUGUAGGUGUGUGUUCCAGGUAAAUCCGGUUCACUUUAACACUGAGGCGUGACGACGAGGCACUACGGUGCUGAAGCAACAAAUGCCCUGCUUCCAGGAAAAGCCUCUAAGCAUCAGGUAACAUCAAAUCGUACCCCAAACCGACACAGGUGGUCAGGUAGAGAAUACCAAGGCGCUUGAGAGAACUCGGGUGAAGGAACUAGGCAAAAUGGUGCCGUAACUUCGGGAGAAGGCACGCUGACACGUAGGUGAAGUGAUUUACUCAUGGAGCUGAAGUCAGUCGAAGAUACCAGCUGGCUGCAACUGUUUAUUAAAAACACAGCACUGUGCAAACACGAAAGUGGACGUAUACGGUGUGACGCCUGCCCGGUGCCGGAAGGUUAAUUGAUGGGGUCAGCGCAAGCGAAGCUCCUGAUCGAAGCCCCGGUAAACGGCGGCCGUAACUAUAACGGUCCUAAGGUAGCGAAAUUCCUUGUCGGGUAAGUUCCGACCUGCACGAAUGGCGUAAUGAUGGCCAGGCUGUCUCCACCCGAGACUCAGUGAAAUUGAACUCGCUGUGAAGAUGCAGUGUACCCGCGGCAAGACGGAAAGACCCCGUGAACCUUUACUAUAGCUUGACACUGAACAUUGAGCCUUGAUGUGUAGGAUAGGUGGGAGGCUUUGAAGUGUGGACGCCAGUCUGCAUGGAGCCGACCUUGAAAUACCACCCUUUAAUGUUUGAUGUUCUAACGUGGACCCGUAAUCCGGGUUGCGGACAGUGUCUGGUGGGUAGUUUGACUGGGGCGGUCUCCUCCUAAAGAGUAACGGAGGAGCACGAAGGUUGGCUAAUCCUGGUCGGACAUCAGGAGGUUAGUGCAAUGGCAUAAGCCAGCUUGACUGCGAGCGUGACGGCGCGAGCAGGUGCGAAAGCAGGUCAUAGUGAUCCGGUGGUUCUGAAUGGAAGGGCCAUCGCUCAACGGAUAAAAGGUACUCCGGGGAUAACAGGCUGAUACCGCCCAAGAGUUCAUAUCGACGGCGGUGUUUGGCACCUCGAUGUCGGCUCAUCACAUCCUGGGGCUGAAGUAGGUCCCAAGGGUAUGGCUGUUCGCCAUUUAAAGUGGUACGCGAGCUGGGUUUAGAACGUCGUGAGACAGUUCGGUCCCUAUCUGCCGUGGGCGCUGGAGAACUGAGGGGGGCUGCUCCUAGUACGAGAGGACCGGAGUGGACGCAUCACUGGUGUUCGGGUUGUCAUGCCAAUGGCACUGCCCGGUAGCUAAAUGCGGAAGAGAUAAGUGCUGAAAGCAUCUAAGCACGAAACUUGCCCCGAGAUGAGUUCUCCCUGAGACUUAGAGUCUCCUGAAGGAACGUUGAAGACGACGACGUUGAUAGGCCGGGUGUGUAAGCGCAGCGAUGCGUUGAGCUAACCGGUACUAAUGAACCGUGAGGCUUAACCUUACA